rnacentral:tRNA from 1 species
GGGGCCGUAGCUCAGUUGGGAGAGCGCGACAUUCGCAUUGUCGAGGUCACGGGUUCGAAUCCCGUCGGCUCCACCA